rnacentral:lncRNA from 1 species
GAAAAAUGCUACUUGUGCACGGAACUGGAGAUGCUACAGUGCAUUUCCAGCAUACAGCUGAACUGCUCAUCCGUCUCCUUGCCACAGGGUCUAACUACACCACCCAGAUCUAUCCGGAUGAAGGCCAUACAUUCUCCCAGAGUUCUAACCAGCACCAUCUCCACCAGACGCUUGUCUCCUUCUUUCAGCNUUGCUUUGAGGACUCUGAGUGGCUCCAUCUACCAGCUGAAGAAGACUCCUAGUGCU